AGACGUCUACAUUAGAUACCCCCGUAGUCCCAGCCGUAAGCUAUGCGCGUUAGGUGUAUCGGUGACCACGAGUUACCGAGGUGCCGAAGGGAAACCGUGAAACGUGCCGCCUGGGAAGUACGGUCGCAAGGCUGAAACUUAAAGGAAUUGGCGGGGAGCACCACAACGGGUGGAGCCUGCGGUUUAAUUGGACUCAACGCCGGGAAGCUCACCGGAUAAGACAGCGGAAUGAUUGCCGGGCUGAAGACUCUGCAUGACUAGCUG
rnacentral:rRNA from 1 species